GUACUACUCCCUCCGUCCAACAAAAGAUGUCUCAAGUUUGUCAAAAUUUAGAUGUAUCUAGACAUAACUUAAUGUAUAGAUACAUUCAAAUUUUGACAAACUUGAGACAUCCUUUAUUGGACAAAGGAAGUAUCAU
rfam:Brachypodium distachyon strain Bd21 chromosome 1, whole genome shotgun sequence.